CGAGGGUGGAAACGCGUACUUCUCAUAACGAUGCGACCGAGUCACAUGCUUCUACAAGAUAUAGAUAGAACUAGGAAGACGUGGUGAAUCAUUGUCGUCGGAGGUUUGGCUGGCGUCCCGCGGUCCAAACUAGUUGAACUCGCCUCGCAACAGGGAGCUUCAGCGAGCUGAUUUCUACCGCGCAAAUAUUUAUGUUUCUAUUCUUAUCGAGACGUAUCGAUGCACGAUGCGCGAAACGCAAUUGCGUUAGAAGUACAUAAAGAAAUAGAUUAUUUAUAUAUUUCGAAAUUUCUCGAUAUA